UAUGCUCCCUUUCAUCGUCUUCCAACUGGCCUUGCAGCAACAUAUUUAACACUAGCAAUACACAUUUCAAGGGUACGAAGUGAUUAAAUGUAGAAAAUAUUUUACAGAAAAUAUUUUACGCCACAUUUAACAAUAAAUAUUGCCAUUUUUUUUUAUGUUCUCUAUGCAUUUACGUGGUGACGUCGUUGCAAUAGUGUCCCUUUAAAACUCGUUCUUCAUUCCUUCAUUGUGAUCACAUCUUGUCUUCUCUAAUCAAGGAACGUCUGUACCGGUACUUUAAAACUAUCAAGCCAAGCCGUACAUUGCCAUGACACUAGCUCUUGCUGGUUACUAAAGCUAGUGAUACAUUGAAACAGCUUUUUUAUCAGCACCCAAGAGGAUUUAGAUCCAGGUGAUGAUACUCCCUUUUUUUUUUAAAUUGUUACACAUCUUUAUGUUUAAACAUUGAAAUAAAAAUGUUCUAAAUGGAAUCCUACGUGUGUUUCUUAUGUCCCAAAUGAUGCAUAUUAGAACAGAGAAAUCCUUGACAGACAAUAAUCCCUCCCACCUGUUCACAAUUGUAAUUUAAAGCAAAAUAACUUUUUUCUCUCAUGCCUAUUACUGGAUGUAGCUCAGACAAAUCUGCCUCUUGAGACAAAUCUUUUCAGCACACAGCAUAUGUAGUAAUUGUUGUGGAAGUAAAAAGUUAGAGCUUGAUGAGUAUUGGCUUUGUUUUGUACUGACACUGUCUAGAAUUGAGCUCUUUUCUUAGCUUUUGUAUAGACACUGUCUAGAACCUAUGGAGUUUGAUCCUAUGACCCACCACAACAAAAAAACACAACAACCACAAAUACAAACCCUAACCAUUGUGUAAACAUUCAAAGUAGCAAACACAAAACAUUUUUAUGUUGAAGAUGUGUUGUAUUUUGUUUGGUUUGGUUGAGAAAAAACACCAAGCCUAUACCCAACCAGCCAAUGGACAAGUUGAAAACAAGUUUAGCCCUAAGACACAACUCAUCAACCAAAGGAGAAUGAAAAACCAUUGGAAGUCCACACCAACAAAAUGUCUCCAACAAAAACCCACUUGGUGUCAGUGUGGGGUCAAGGUUGAGUUAGAAUAGAAGAGGAGACAUUGCCCACAACGACCACAUCAAUACAUUGCCAGUCCUAAAUACAUUGGUGUAGAAACAUCAUGUCUUCACAGAAAGAAAACAAUCAAUAAAAUGUUGAAACAAAUGUCCAAAUAAAUCACAAUGCUAAGUCAUUCUCUACUAGUACUGAAUAUCAAAAAUCUAUUAAAUCUAAAAAAAAAAUAAUAAAUAAACAAUAGAAUCCAUAUUUUCUGCCAAUAUUACAAAAAUGUUGUUGAACCAAUCAUUGGUUACUUAAAACUUCCUGCAUCUCACAGGUUUAUAGGUUGUUGAAUAAGGGAAAAAUUAUAUUUAUACUAUUUCACCAACCAACAGAAAAAGUCAGUAACAAUUAACAGUGGGAUCAAUCAAAUUGUUGACAUUUUUUUAUUUUAUUUAGUUAACACAGUGACCUACAACUUUAAAAAGGCUUAGCGUUACCACCACUUCAAACUAACUAGUGACAUUGCAGUCUUUAUUGCAGGUAUCAGAUGAACUUUCUGGCUGCAGAAUUGUAGUAGCUAUAAAUGUCCUGUUUUAGUUCACUCCUAGAGACAGAGACCCAAACAAAAGCUGUUCAUGACUGCAAGUCUACAACAUCACACUUUAUUUGUUUCACUUCAUGUGUUGAUGAACACUGACCAAAAAGUGAACACUGAAUGCAUCUAUUCAUCAUUGACCAACUAGUUUGAUAACAAAAAUAGUGCUACAAAUAAAAUGAACAACCUUUACAGACAUAAUAGUUUUAUAAACAAAAUAUAAAUCACAACUUAAUAUAUUCUAUAAAACCUGAACAUUUUCAUUCUAAAUUGUAUCUUUCAAAACAAACAAAAUUAUUUUCUUUGGUGAGGUCUGUUAUUCUACCACAAUACUUAAUUAUUGUAUUGAGACAUUUGGUUUAUGGCAAGGUGUUUGAGACCAACUUUGUGACUUAGGAAAGUUUCAGACAUUCCUUUGGAAAAGAGAUUAUUAAAUCCUAGUCCGAACUUACUUAAAGACAGCAGGCGAUGGGAGGGCAGUCCUCAUACUACACAAACCACCACCCAAUUUCUUGACUUGGCUAAUGACUUUUUAAACAGGAAGAAAAAAAAUGUGCUCAUUAGCUUCAAUGGUAAUUUCUUUUUUUUAACUUUACCUGUGAUAUUUUAGAAAUCACUAUCACUAUGGGACAGAGUGGGGAGGGCAAUAGGGUUGGCUCCUUUAAUUAAUAGUAAAACUUGAUAAAUGCUGGCCAGUUAGUAAAUUAUACAUAAACUAUAAAAUACAUAAAUAAUUUCUACAACCAUAACUAUCUGAAACAAACAAAAUAAAAGUAUCAACAUUAAAAAAUAAACAACGACCAAAAUACACCAAUAACAUCAUGUUGUAAUGAACAUUUGUAAUGCUUUUUGUUAUUUCAUUGUUAGCAAAUAGAGUCAACAAACAAAAGCUAAGAUAGAAAAAAAAAAGAAUUAAGUGUGUUUUUGUUUUAAGAGUCAAUCCAUGUUACAAACAGGUGGAGAUAUUAUGUGUUGACAAACACACAGCCUCUUGUCUAAACCAUUCAGUCAACAACCAGAAAGUUAGUUUCAACUUGAUAACAUUUCUUGAAGAUGUCAGCAAUCCAACAGAAAGCAGUGUUUUAUCACUUUAUGGUAAAUAAUGCUUAAAAACAAUUCUCUCCAAACAUCUUCAACAAUGGGCACAUACAGAUGAUAUGGAUGAGGAGAACAAUCAAUGCAAUGGUCUUCGUAAAGUAACAUGUACAACCAAUGCAUUCAUCUUACUGGUAAACAGAGAUUUAAAAAAAAGGUUUUCUUGGUAAUAGCUACACUUCUACUCUUGUAGACCAGUGAAGUAUUAUAAACAACAAGCCCUAUGUGUGUACAAACAAAGAUGUGUGUUCUCACUGGGUGGGAAAGCAGGAGUGAACAUCCCAGUUGAAGGAAUCUCCAAACCGGCCAAUGUGGCAUCAGUAAUGUUUGGAAUGAACAAAUGAGUCUGGUCCUGGCCAGGUUUCAAAGGAGAUCAUGUCAAUCCUCCUAGAUGAUGAUUUAUUUAUAUAUUAUAGUUUAUGUAUAUAUAUAUAUAUAUAUGGAUUUCAUAGUUGAAACGGACAUGUUGUGACCAGUAGUCUAGUUCAGUGAUACCUGCUAUAUGGUGGCUCUGACCCAUUGUCUAUAUACAGGUAACAAUGUCAGCUAAAAGCAUAAGGUUUUAUUUUUUGUAAAAUCAUUCUGCUAACUUCCAAACAGAACCCCACAUAAACUGCAAUUAUUUUCCCAUCCCAUUCUGGGAAGUCCUAUUCCCCUCUGAAAUAAAUGUAAAAAAAAAUAUUGAAUGUGAACAUUAAGUAAUUUGGCCAAAGGAUGCUGGAUCAAGUGAUAAGAAAUAUAGGUGUUGGAGGGGAGGGCAUAUCUGCCAGUUCACAGUCACAACCUAUUUCCUGAAAACUCUGCAAGUAAAAUAUUUAAAAAAAAUGAAAUUAUCUACCCUGUUCUUUACCACAUGUACUAAUUACUGACAAGUUAAAGAACAAGUUAAGUCAAGGGACAAAGACAAAAAAAAUACACAAUCAAUGUCUAGCGGUCAAUAUCAAAGAAAAGUAUGUCACUCAAUGAAAGACUCAAGUCAAUAGAACAAAAAAAAUAAUUGGAAAGACAGAAGGAGAACCAGUGUACAUUAUUUCAAGAAAACAAAAAAGUGAUUUUUUCUCAUUUCCCAAUACAACAUUACAUUAUAACAAAGAGAACAAAACAAAUUAUUUUUUUUUAGAAUUAACAUCAUAAAGAGUAUUGAUUUGUUAUUUCAUUAUUUAUAUUCAAAAAUUACAACAAGCUGUGCCUCCAAAAAAACAAAGAAAUAUAACCAAGAAAGUCUCAAUGAUGUAAUUAUAGACACAUUUUUGAUGUUUUGUACAAAAGAGAGAGAAGCAUACAGAGAGUAUUUACAAACUAUGUACAGUAACAAAUGUGUUAUCACAUGAGGCAAACAGAACUCUGUGGUGUGUGUUUUGGUUCAAAGGUCAAGAACAGUAACAGGUCAAGGAUUUUUUUAUUUUUUUUUAAUCUGUUUACAACAACUGAUCAGCACAUUCAUUAAAUAUUGAACUUUUGCAGCAGGCUGACUUUCAAAUUUUUGUUUUUACUUAUGAAACAUUCAAAUAACUAGUCCUAUAUAUAUGUUAUUAUGAACUGUAGUAUGUUAUUACCUCUGGGUCUAACACUCUAGUUCACAUGAGUUUGUAUGUGAAUCAUUUCUUUUAGGGAGCCUAAGCUGAAUUUAGUGUUACAAUUUUGUACAAAUUUAAUAAAAGAACAGAAGGGCACCAAAAGUGAAAGAAAAACAAAUGUAUAAUGAUGAUCUAAGUAACUGCCAGGUUGCUGAGUCGGGUCUUAAAUUACGCAUUCUGUCACAGCUUAGAAAAGAAAAAUGAAAUCUGCAGGAAUAGAUCCAAUGAGAUCAUCGUUACAAGUAGAACACUCGGGUGGCCUAGUCAUCGCAAAGACCAGAAUGAAUUAUAUGAAAUGUACAGACAUGAACAGUAAUUUAAAUGAACAAGCAAUUUCAGAAAAAAAAUAAUUUUUGAACAAUGUUCAUUUCUGAAAAUUGGUAAAAUUCAAUUUAAAUAAAGCUCUCCAAAAUAUGUAUUUUUGUCUUCACAAAUGUUUUUUCUUAAGAAAUACUAAACAAAAAUGUGUCAAGAAAAUAAUCCUGAUGUUGGUCAACUAGCUCUGACCACAGAGACUGUGCUUGGAGAGAUCUGCUUCAAACUAGUCUUGAAAUCACAACUACUUCACUUGGACAAUGUUUUCAUUUGACCAAUACGUCAACACUUUUAAGAAGAAAGUAGAAAAAAAAA
rnacentral:sRNA from 1 species